rnacentral:lncRNA from 13 species
UCCACCUGGCCUUGCUGCUGUUCCAGUUUCAACUGUUCUGCCUGUGGCUGUGGAACCCUACACUGUUCAUAUUUACUCUUGAGGUGCUGUCCUGUUGCAUGCUCUACAACUACUGUGAUUAUUAUUAUUUGACCCUGCUGGUCAUCUAUGAAAGUUUGAAAAUCUCGGCCAUGUUCUGUUAUAAUCUCCACCCGGUACAGCCAGAAGAGGACUGGCCACCCCUCAUAGCCUGGUUCCUCUCUAGGUUUCUUCCUAGGUUUUGGCCUUUCUAGGGAGUUUUUCCUAGCCACCGUGCUUCUACACCUGCAUUGCUAGCUGUUUGGGGUUUUAGGCUGGGUUUCUGUACAGCACUUUGAGAUAUUAGCUGAUGUAUGAAGGGCUAUAUGAAUACAUUUGAUUUGAUAGAGGACUGAGGGACUUCCAAAUAUUGAAUGUGUGUAAAUAGUUACCCAUGUUAUUUUGUAAAUGUCUAUAUUUUUUUCUUCCAUAUUUUUUUCUCCAUUUUUUGGGGGGGUGUGUUAGAAUACCAUUUUGGUAUUUUGUAUAUAGUUAUUUGUAUAACUUCACCAAUUUGGCCACUUGGGUACAUUUGGGCUACUUGUGUGGGACACCUGGGUGACUUCAUGAUAAAUGUCAUGUAGCACACUCAUUUUGGAAGUUAUCAUUCUGUAACUUUGCACCAGUACUGUUGCCCUCUUUUAUGUUUUCACUGAAAUUGUCCCCAUCAUCCUAUCUGAAUGUUUGUUUUGUCUUGUUCAUUUUAAAGAUGAUGAUACAACAUUUUUUUUAAAUCAUAUGAUUUACAGAACUUGAUUUACAGAAUCACUUUGAAGAUGCAAAAUAUUUUUAUUGUGAAAUAAGACAAAUAUCCAGAAAACUUGCGCGUGCAUAACUAUUCACCCGCCCCAAAGUCAAUACUUUGUAGAGCCACCUUUUGCAGCAAUUACAACUGCAUGUCUUUUGGGAUAUGUCUCUGUAACCCUGGCACAUCUAGCCACUGGGAGUUUCGCCCAUUAUUAAUUGAAAACUGCUCCAGCUCCUUCAAGUUGGAUGGGUUCUGCUGGUGUACAGCAAUCUUUAAGUCAUGCCACAGAUUCUCAAUUGGAUUGAGGUUUGGGCUUUGACCUGGCCAUUCCAAGACAUUCCAAGACAUUUAAAUGUUUCCACUUAAAAAACUCAAGUGUUGCUUUAGCAGUAUGCUUAGGGACAUUGUCCUGCUGGAAGGUAAACCUCCGUCCCAGUCUCAAAUCUCUGGAAGACUGAAAAAGGUUUCCCUUAAGGACUUCCAUGUAUUUAGCACCAUCCAUCAUUCCUUCAAUUCUGACCAGUUUCCCAGUCCCUGCCGAUGAAAACAAUCCCCAAAGAAUGAUGCUGCCACCACCAUGCUUCACUGUGGGAUGGUGUUCUCAGGGUGAUGAGAGGUGUUAGGUUUGUGCCAGCGGUUUCCUUGAUGGCCAAAAAGCUUAAUUUUAGUCUCAUCUGACAAAAUACUUAUUUUACACCAUAAUUUGCAAAUAAAUUCAUAAAAAAUCAUACAAUGUGAUUUUCUGGAUUUUUUUUCUCAUUUUGUCUGUCAUAGUCGAUGUAUAUAUAUAUAUAUAUAUAUGCAUGUAUGUAUAUAUGUAUAUAUGUAUAUGUAUGUAUGUGUAUAUAUAUAUGUGUAUAUGUAUAUAUGUAUAUAUAUAUAUAUAUAUAUAUAUAUAUGUAUAUAUAUGUAUAUGUAUGUAUUUCUUUUAUGUAUGUAUCUGUGUGUGUUUACAAGGCACUGAUGAAAACAUUUUAAAUGAGCUCUAAUUCAAACAUAUAAUGAUAUAUAUUUGAUACAAUUACCCCUUAAAAUCUGUUGUUAUAAAAUCACUUCUCAUUGUGUCUAUUUCAAGGUUUCACAAACAUACAAUUAACUAGUUAAUGUUUCUCGGACAAAUACACUAUAGAGUUUCCUAUUUAAGACAAAACACACAAUUUGUAAUAUAAACUGUAUGCAUAUCAUUCUAUAAUGAAUACAGGUACAUUCUGAAAGAUUUUGUUGUUGAUGUGAUAACACAUUUUGUAAUUUAGGAUAAUACUGUUUAUUUUUAUUUUACUUAAAUUGUAUUAUUCAUGUUGUCUCAAAUCAUGCUAAUACACUGCAAGCAGAUGUGACUUUUUGGGUCAAGAAUUUAUCAAGAAUACUAAUAGGCAUUAUCAGAUCCUCUUUCCUAUUCAGGCAUCAUAUAACGCACAGUCACAUGCAAAUCCAUAAACUCCACCGAUAAAACAUUGAAAACCUUAAUAUGACUACUGGCAAUGUCAUUAUUUUCGUCACCAUCCAUCAAUGGUUGAAUUGCAUUAUUUUUCUUUUUACAAGCUACUAUUGUAUUAUUGAAUGUACAUUUGUUUAUUCCAUGUGUAACUCUGUGUUGUUGUUUGUGUCACACUGUUUUGCUUCUUCU